rnacentral:lncRNA from 1 species
AGUGUUCGUGUGUCCUUCCCUCCACAGUGUCCAUUUGUCCUGCUCGUCAAAGUGUCUUACUGUCCGUCCUUCUCUACCGUGUUUCCAACUGUCCUCUCCCCUGUGACAUUCAGUCCUUCACUCGUCAGUGUCCUUCUGUCCCUCUCUCCCCAGUGACUCUGCACUUCUGUACCCAGUUUCUGUCCUUGUCUCCCAGUGACCAGCUAUCUGUCCUUCUCUCCCCAGUGCCCUUCUGUCUUUCUCUUCCCUGUGUCUGUCUGUACUUCUCUCCCCAGUGUCUGUCGGGCCUUCUCUCCCCAGUGACCAUCCAUGUGUACUUCUCUCCCCAGUGUCUGUCCAUCUGUCUUUCUAUCCCCAGUGAACGUCUGUCAUUCUUUCCCAAGUGUCCUUCUGUCUUUCUCUCACCAGUGACCUUCUGUCCUCCUCUCCCCAUUGUCUGUCUCUCCUCCUCUCCACAUUGUCUGUCUAUCUACUCCCCAGUGACCAGCUUAUAUACUUCUCUCCCCAGUAUCCGUUUGUCCUUCACUCCCCAGUGUCCUUCUUUCCUUCUCUCCCCAGUGUUCCUCUUUGCUCUCUGCAUUAUAAUCUGUCUGUUGUUCCCUACCCGGUGUCUGUUGGUCCUUCUCUCCCCAGUGUCCGUCUGUCCUUCUCUCCCCAGUUUCUAUCUGUCCACACCCUGUGACAAGCUGUCUGUCGUUCUCUCCCCAGUGACCUUCUGUCCUUCUCUCUCUAGCAUCCAUCUGUCCGUCCUCAUCUCACAGCGUUCAUCUGUCCUUCUAUACCCAGUGUUUGUCUGACAUUCUCUCCUCAGUGUCCAGCUGUCUGACCUUCUCUCCAAUUGUCUGUCCUUCCUUCAUUCUCCACUGUAUGUCUGUACUUCUCUCCCCAGAAUCUCUCGGUCUACACCCCAGUGACCAGCUUCGGUGCUUCUCUCCCCAGUAUCUGUCAGUCCUUCACUUCCCAGUGUCCAUCUGUCCUUCUCUCCCAAGUGUUUCUCUGUCCUUCUCUACCAGUGUCCAUCUGUGGGUCGUUAUCCACCCAGUGAACCUCAGACAUUCUCUCCCCAGUGAAAAUCCGCCUGUAUUUCUCUCUCAAGUAUCCGUCUGUCCGUAUCACACCAGUGUCCAUCUCUCCUUCCCUUGCCAGUGUCCAUCUGUCUGUCCUCUCCCCAGUGUCUGUCUGUCCUUCUCUUCCCAGUG